rnacentral:misc_RNA from 1 species
GAGAUAGGUGGCUCUGGGAAUUUCUCCAAGUUAUGGCAAAAAGCUUUGAUGUUCUUUAUCUGCAUGCAUCUUCUCUAUAAUGUCCCUUAAAUUUUAAGUUAUAGUUUCAAUAUGCUAGAAAUCAGUUUACGUUUGGGCCUUUACCGUUUAUUUUCUCCCUGUAGAGUUAGUGUUUCCUUAAUGCAUUGAAAAGCUUUUUCCAUA